rnacentral:tRNA from 1 species
GCCUUCGUGGUGUAGUGGUCAGCAUACUCGGCACGUAUUCGAGACGACGGGGGUUCGAGUCCCGGUGAGGGCA